rnacentral:rRNA from 1 species
UACAGAGGUCCCAAGCGUUGUUCGGAUUCACUGGGCGUAAAGGGUGCGUAGGUGGCUUGGUAAGUUUGAUGUGAAAUCUCCGGGCUUAACCCGGAAAUGGCAUUGAAUACUAUUGAGCUGGAGGUUUGGAGGGGGGACUGGAAUUCUCGGUGUAGCAGUGAAAUGCGUAGAUAUCGAGAGGAACACCAGUGGCGAAGGCGAGUCCCCUGGACAACACCUGACACUGAGGCACGAAAGCUAGGGGAGCAAACAGG